rnacentral:rRNA from 1 species
UACGGGGGGGGCAAGCGUUGUUCGGAAUUACUGGGCGUAAAGGGCUCGUAGGUGGCCAACUAAGUCAGACGUGAAAUCCCUCGGCUUAACCGGGGAACUGCGUCUGAUACUGGAUGGCUUGAGGUUGGGAGAGGGAUGCGGAAUUCCAGGUGUAGCGGUGAAAUGCGUAGAUAUCAGGAGGAACACCAAUGGCGAAGGCAGCACUCUGGGACGUGACUGACGCUGAGACGCGAAAGCGUGGGGAGCAAACAGG